rnacentral:rRNA from 1 species
GACAGAGGGUGCAAACGUUGCUCGGAAUUACUGGGCGUAAAGCGUGCGUAGGUGGUGAGGUAAGUCGGAUGUGAAAUCUCCGAGCUCAACUCGGAAACUGCAUUGGAAACUACCUUGCUCGAGGGUUGGAGGGGGGACUGGAAUGCUUGGUGUAGCAGUGAAAUGCGUAGAUAUCAAGCGGAACACCAGUGGCGAAGGCGAGUCCCUGGACAACUCCUGACACUGAGGCACGAAAGCUAGGGGAGCAAACAGG